rnacentral:rRNA from 1 species
GAUGAACGCUGGCGGCGUGCCUAAUACAUGCAAGUCGAACGAAACUUCUUUAUCACCGAGUGCUUGCACUCACCGAUAAAGAGUUGAGUGGCGAACGGGUGCGUAACACGUGGGCAACCUGCCCAAAAGAGGGGGCUAACACUUGGAAACAGGUGCUAAUACCGCAUAACCAUAGUUACCGCAUGGUAACUAUGUAAAAGGUGGCUAUACUACCGCUUUUGGAUGGGCCCGCGGCGCAUUAGCUAGUUGGUAGGGUAAAGGCUUACCAAGGCAAUGAUGCGUAGCCGAAUUGAGAGGUUGAUCGGCCACAUUGGGACUGAGACACGGCCCAAACUCCUACGGGAGGCAGCAGUAGGGAAUCUUCCACAAUGGGCGAAAGCCUGAUGGAGCAACGCCGCGUGGGUGAAGAAGGUCUUCGGAUCGUAAAACCCUGUUGUUAGAGAAGAAAGUGCGUGAGAGUAACUGUUCACGUUUCGACGGUAUCUAACCAGAAAGCCACGGCUAACUACGUG